rnacentral:rRNA from 1 species
GAUGAACGCUAGCUACAGGCUUAACACAUGCAAGUCGAGGGACCGGCGCACGGGUGUGUAACACGUAUCCAACCCGUACUUUACUCGGGGAUAGCCUUUCGAAAGAAAGAUUAAUACCCGAUAGAAAGGAUGGGGAUGGGUUCCAUUAGGUUGUUGGUGAGGUAACGGCUCACAAAGCCUUCGAUGGAUAGGGGUUAUGAGAGGAGGGUCCCCUAGAUUGGAACUGAGACACGGUCCAAACUCGUACGGGAGGCAGCAGUAAGGUAUGUUGGUCCAUCGACGCUAGCCUACACCGGCCGAGUAACGUGAAGGGUGAAUGGUUAUGAGUCGUAAAUUAUUUUUGUAUAAGAAUAUGUAUUAUAUGAAUAAGGAUCGGCUAACUCCGUGCCAGCAGCCGCGGUAAUUC